rnacentral:misc_RNA from 1 species
CGCGAGGGGCGUGUCAGGGUAAUACCGGUGACUGGGGCUAAGUCGUAACAAGGUAGCCGUACCGGAAGGUGCAGGCUGGAACACCUCCUUUCUGGAGCGUUUCCAAGAAUUUACUGUUUGUUUUCGGUGUUAUUCUUUUUGCUGUUUUUUGCUGAAAGUUUUUCAGUCUGAGCAUUGAGAGCAUGAAGAGAGGGCAUCGCAGGGUCUUAUUGCAGACGAGUAUUUACGGGGAAAAGAUUUUUUACCGUGCUUUCACUUUUCGUUCGAUAUGAACUAUAAUAUAUAAUAAAGGGAAUUCGAGGAGCUUGAAGAGCGUAUUCUUUCGAUUACCGUGGAGAAGUCAGAUGGGAUGAGGGUCUGUAUUAUUGAGGCCGGAGCCUGUUCUGUUCUGUCUUUGGAUGUCGGUCUCGAUUGGAGGUGUUUUUGGCAAGGCGAGCGAGACGCAGUCCUAUAGCUCAGUUGGUUAGAGCGCUACACUGAUAAUGUAGAGGCGGUCGGCAGUUCAACUCUGCCUGGGACUACACUCGAAGCUUGUCCCCCUCGCAGUCGGAAUGUUUUGAAAGUGAAUCGUUCCGCGGAAGACGAAAUGGUUUGUACGUUUGUGUUUUCUGUCUCAUCGAGACCUUCCCGGGGGAUUAGCUCAGCUGGCUAGAGCACCUGCUUUGCAAGCAGGGGGCAACGGUUCGAAUCCUGUUAUUCUCCACUGAACGCCCCUUGGGUCUUGUUUUUUUUAAGACGUUGAGGGGGUAAAGCGAUCUUUGACAUACUGAACGAGUUAAAACGAAAACGUAGAGCUAAAAAAUAAAAAGCCAAAGUAUAUGAAAGGUCUGUUUCAUUUGUAUGUUACAGACCCGGCGAAAUAAUAAGAAAAGGGC